rnacentral:lncRNA from 1 species
AUGAUGAAGCUGCACUUUCACUUUUGCCAGUAUCACUUGCUGCACUCAUUCAGCUGCAGAGAGACUCUGCUGGAAGGAAAGACCAUGUCCAGGGUCCCUCAUCCCUGUGCCAGGAUGCACAGGAGGGCUUCCAGAUUCCUUUUUAUUUGUGAGUUGUUCAAAUCCAGACUCUUCCAAAUCAAGCUCCUGACACCAUUUAUAUCUGUAUGAGAAGAGUGGAUGUGCCAAAACAAUAAAAAGACGUUUGUAAAGAAGACCUGGUACCUAAUGUAAAAGAUUAUUGCUAAAGCCCUGGAGUGGAGACAACUUACCUUUACUGGCAUUCACGUCUUUACUCAAACACAACUCCAUUUGAAAAUGAUUAGGAAAUUGCCGGUGCAAAUACCAAAUAAAGACUUCAAGUAUUGGCCCUUUAUGAUGAGU